AAACCCACUAAGCUAACUCCCAAAACCCUUCUUUCCUCUUCCUUCAUUUCCCCCUUCCUCUCUACCACCUCCUCCCCUUCAGCUUCCACUACCAUCACUACCUGCCGCCGCUCCUUCACCGUCCGUGCCGCCCGAGGGAAAUUCGAAAGAAAGAAACCCCACGUCAACAUCGGAACUAUCGGCCACGUCGACCAUGGGAAGACCACUCUUACAGCUGCCCUCACCAUGGCUUUAGCCGCUACUGGCAACAGCGCACCCAAGAAAUACGAUGAAAUUGACGCC
rnacentral:misc_RNA from 1 species